AUGAGAGGGUUGCGUGAGCACACGCUCCAAUCCCAUUUCAACACCAGGAAAUCGGGCACAGAGAGGUCGAGCGGCCUGCCCGAGUGCAGAGCAAUUCACCAGAGCCCGAGUCAGGAGCGGUCUCCCAGCUGGGAACACAGCAGGGGAAGACCGAAGAGGAGCAAGGGCCACAGAAGGAACUUCAAGGAGCCACCAGCAGCGGGCCCUGGGGCCGGGCCAGAACUGCAAGGAGGACUCAGAUUGGAGACCUGCGGUUCUGCAGGGUUUCCGAGCCCCACAGCCUGUGGGGUCACAGCAUCAAGGGUGUAUGAGAGACUUGAAGGAGACUGGCCAUCCCCGCAUUCUGCUCAGUGGCAGCAGAGCCCCCCAGAACGCAGAGGCUGCCUGAACCCCCACCCAAGAGCGAGGCUGCUGGGUGAGAGUUCCCGCUUCCCGCCUGCCCUUCCUGAGGUGAAGGGCCCGAGCAGAGCCAGCUUUUGUCAGCACAGUGCUGACUGUGUCCGCCUGCAAUUCUUAGGCACCCGCUGUGCACCAGACCUUUCUCACGCAUUACCACAGUCACUCCGUGUAAAAACCCUGUGGGGUUGGCGUCACCGUCCGCACACGACAGAUGGAUGAGCCGAGCCGUGCAGCACUUCAACAACAAGUCUGAGGUCACAGGCAAGUGAGAGGCAGAGCAGGGGUAAAACCACACCUCUCUGGCUCCACAGUCCAUUCCCCUCCUCUGUGCUCGGCCUUCAAGGUCCACGGGUGCAGGUGCACUGAGGAGGGGCAGCAUCUGGGGAGACCAAGCGUUUAGGGGACAGGGCACCAGGCAGAGGGAACAGCAAGAACAAAACAUCUGAAUGGUCAGUCAAGGGUGAGGUGGCAGGGGCACCUGCCCGGGUGAGUCAUCAGCCUCGGAUUUAUGGCCUCGGGAGCACGUCUCCGUCCAGGGUUGCCAGGACGCCUCUAUUUGGACGCAUCAAGACAGUUUUCUCUGCCGUCCCCGAGCAGGUAGGUGAGCCACCAUGCCGGGUGGCACAGUGGAAUGUUGACGGGCCAACAGUGACCCAGAGAAAGACACUCCAUUCAGUGAGCCAGUGGUUUCCAACCGCCCCAGACCUCCCCAGGGCCUUGGUUUCCCUCACAGCUCGCUGUCACAUCAGACAAGUGGAGAGCCCAGCCGUGUGCUCAUUGGGAAUAAGGUCGGGCCAUGCAGGAGCACCGCAAGCCUUGCUUUCCUCAUCUGUAAAAUGGGCAUGACAGGAACAGGAUGGCAGAGACUGUCACUCUCUGGUAUUUACAUUUCUCUAAUAUUUGCACUCUUUAAAACAAGCAUAUAUUUUCCUUUAUAAUGAGAAAAUAAAAUGUAAGGGAAAUAUAAAUAAAUAAAAUUA
rnacentral:lncRNA from 1 species